GGAGGGAAGGAUCAAGCUGGUAGUACAGCCAAAGAUACCUUUUAUUUAAUGAUAGUUCCUCUGGAGCCACUAGCAUUUAAGUUCAUUUGUUUGCUCUUUAGUGAGUUGCUCUCAGCACAUCAAGUUUCUAGGAUUUUGGAAGCCACUCUCUGUUAUUAGGAGUCCAUCUCUGUUGGUGGCCCAUACACCACCUUGCUAACCAAUUAAAAACAUGAAUAUAAAAAAACAAAAACAAAAAACAAACAAGUAAAGCAAAAUUAACACAAUUGUCUUGGUGAGUCUCUGGGAAAUCAAAAAGGUUUUUUGUUGUUGUUUUGUUUUGUUUUGUGAACUUGUGAUAGAGUAGUGCAUCUUACGGAAACUGUUUCCCCUUGUAAAUCCUGUAGCUGCUCUGUAAUGACUUUGAGGCUUCAUGACUAUAAGGUGUAAAAAUGAUUUUUAUCAGUCAAUCACACAGGUACGCUAAGAAUAUUAAGUAUAAUUUUUAUUAUUAUGAAUGUAAGAUCACCAUUUGUACACAGAGCAAUUAAGUACACAGAGCACUGUUGCAGAACAUCUGAGUAAACCUGAGAUACACAACCUGAAAGAACCUAACAGUUUUGAAGUCCUAGAGAAAUCUUUCAUUUGGAAGUGGAAGUCAGAAGGACAGCUCAGUUUCAGGCUAAUCUUAUCAUCAUUUGAGAAGAGAGUGGUUUUAAGACUUGGAAAUUGUCCAAGCAUAAACAAGAUUUUUUUUAAAAGUUGUUUAAUAGUUUAUUAUGGCAAGAAAAAUAACCGAUAAAACUAAGUGGACUUAGUGAGGAAGUUUCUGUAUCAAUGAAGAAUGAUGUGGUGUGGUUUUAUAUCAUUCCUUGAAAAGAACUAGUAUAAAUGGAAGUGCUUUCUGUGAGAUAUAAAAUCGGUUUCCCAAGGAGAGUUACUUGUCUACCUUCCCAUAUGAUCAACCCUUUCACCUCAGUGUAUGGGAAUUGCCAGCAAGGUCUAAGCCAAAAUCUUUUAAUUUUUUUUCCAUAGUUAUUGAACUUAAAUAUGGCACAAGGACACAAAUGCUAGUCAGAUGUGUUUCAGCAGAGUUUUUGAAAGCAUCUUCUGACGAAGCUUGGUUUAUCAUAAAGACAUUUGUUUAUAUAUGACAUAGUCUUGCUGUCAGUAUGCUGAGUAACUCACAAACUGAAACUAUUGUAUGUUUCAGACACACCUUUUGAUCAUGAAGCAUUUUGUAGCUUUCUUGUACACAUUCUAAGGUUGAAAGGUACCUGUAACUAACUCCCAUGGAAAAUAGCUAUUGAAAAGGUAAUCUUUAUGUCUUUCAGAGACUUUCAU
rnacentral:lncRNA from 1 species